GAAAUAUUCUAUUUAUACAUGUAAGACGUAUUUAGAAAUGUAUCAUUGUGUCUUUGUUUUAUACAGUCACAAUUUACACAGACUCCACACAAAUACACACUUCAACUGAAAAGUCUACAAUUACUUUAAUUACUAUAAUGUUUCUUAUUUUAUUUUGAUCAACUUUAGAUUCAAUUCUUUUAUUGAAUACGUUUAAACACGUUGAAUGAUUUACUAUAUUUACAUGUACCAAUGUGGCCUAUAUUUUAACAUUUUUUUAUGUUCAUGUUUACUAAGUACACACAGUUGAUCAGUACAAUAUGUUUUAAUUGUCAAAAACUAUAUACAUGCAUUAUAAAUUGAUUUUUGGUAUGCCGAUAUUCUCCGGUGGCAAAUAUUUCGUGCAUGUCCAACGAAAAAAAUUAACAAUAAAUACAGGUAUAUAAUUAAGAAGGGGAGACAUUUCAAUAUUUCAGUGUGUUUAUGUAUGCAAUACGUUUUUUUUUUGUUUUUUUUCUAAAUUUCAAUACAGUUUUUCUAAAAAAAAAAAAAAAAAAAAAAGUUUCACAUCUGCCACAAUGACCCACGAUUAUUACGUCAAAAUUCAGGUAUGGUGGUUUAGACUUGCACCAACUGUUUUAUAUAUUGAUAUUGUCAUCUAUAUUUCUCCCUCCAGGAUGUGAAAGCCAUGUUCAGGUGAAAAACGUGCGGUAUGUAUUAAUAUACUACGCCAAGUUCGACAGAAAUAGGGAAAUUAAAUACAUGUAGCAUCAGUUGUGGGGUCUGUAGACAAUCUGUUUCGAGGCUACAUAGCCGUAGCGUAUCCUCUUUUUCAAAUAUACAUUCAAUUAUGGGCUGGUAAUCCUUAUCCAUCAUAUUAUAGGUCCUUCAAUUUCCUGUUUUGAUUUAAUUUAAUUGCGCUCGACUUGAACACGCUUACAAUACUAAUAUUUUUUAUUUGCAUGUUUUGGUGGGAAGUUAAUGUUACUCUAGAAUCUGUCAGUUAAAUGACCAUUUUAGAUUUUAGAUAACGAUUUGAAUAGUAUGAUAAAGUUUUAAUUUAAGAGCAUACAAUCUAUUUUGCAGGAUUAUGGCCACCAAUUGGGGUAUUUGUGGUGUUUGUGAAAACCUUCAGAUUACCAAACCUUCAGUAGUAUGGUGUUCCGAAUGUGACGAAGGACUAUGUGGAGAGUGUAAGAAACAUCAUGCAGUUUCCAAGGGAACAAAAAGCCAUGAAACCGUUUCUAUCGCCGAAUACAAAAACUUACCCACCGAAGUCCUGCAAAUCUCUCAGACCUGCAAACUUCAUAAUGAGAAAUACGAGCUGUUCUGUACAAAACACGAUUGUCCAUGCUGUAAAAAAUGUGUGAAAUCUCACAACGAUUGUAAAGGUUUAACUGACAUUAAUGAACUCAUAAAAAACGUCAAAACUUCAAACGCAUUAAAUGAAAUCGAACAAACCGUGCAGGAAGUCGUCGAGAAUAUUAAACGACUAAGCACGAACAGGAAUGAAAAUUUAAAAUCUAUAGAAAACAAGAAAAGAGAAAUUGAAGCAGAAAUAAAACAAACCAGGAUACAAGUAAAUCACCACCUUGAUAAACUUCAGGAUGACUUAAUUAAAGAAUUACUGAGAGUUGAACAACACGAAAAAAGCAAAAUAGAAAACUUGCUGACUACUCUGAAAAAAAAGGAAAAAGAGAUGACUGAAGUACAAGAAAACUUUGUCACUAUUAAACAACAUGCGUCCGAACUUCAAACAUUUUUAACCAUGAAAGAUAUCGAAAAAUAUAUUGUAGGUGACGAAAAGUGUAUUCAAUCGAUUACUACGAGUGACUCCACACAUCAAGUCAAUAUUUCAUGUCAGAUUAAUAAGUCUUUACAGCAAAUAACAGCCAACGUGCAGAAGUUUGGAGAAAUUAAUGUCAAUUCUGAUCCAUGUGAUUUUUCCGUUCAGAAAAGGAAGGACAGACAAGCCCAGAUUAUGGUAGCUCUUCCAACCAAAAAUAUCGAUAACCUGACUCUGACAUUACAGAAACGUAUCAAUACAAAGUUGUCAGGUGUCUUUGGCUGUUCACUGCUUCCUGAUUGUAGGAUGGUAUUCUCCUCUUUAAGUGACGAUAAAAUAAGAGUAUUUAAGUCUGACGGAUCAAAAGAUUUCGAAAUAAAGGACAUUGGUAAAACGUUUGAUGUGGUAUUUAUUGGUGAUGAUUCUAUUGCUGUUACAUCCGGCGAGUCAAAAAAGAUUAAUAUAAUCGACUUAAAGACCCACAAACUGAAGAAAUCGAUAAAAGUUGAUUCAUACACUGGUGGAGUAACAUACAAAAAUGGACAUUUAAUAUAUUGUGCCAAGAGAAAAAGGAAUACAGAUGCUCAGUUUAAAUAACGGAACCAUUACCAAUGUGAGCAGUACCAAACUCCCAGAAUUUGCGUACGUAACAACAUUCGGUGAAAAACUGAUCUACACAAAAAGGACAAUAACAGUGUAACCUGCUGUGACUACCAUGGUAACAUACUGUGGACGUUCUGUGAUAAAAGUGCUUUGCGAUUUCCAGUAGGUAUAUCUGUAGACAAUGAUGGUAACGUGUAUGUAGCGGGGUAUUUUACUAACAACGUUGUCGUUAUCUCUCCUGAUGGACAGCGCUGCAGACAAAUUCUCACACGUGAAGAUGGACUUAUACAGACCCAUGGACUCUGCAUUAUGACACGUCUACAAAUAAAUUGUUAGUUGUUAAUUAUAAUGAAUUCAAUGAAGCAUUUUUGUAUGAUGUUAAAUGAUUAGAAAUGAGGAGUGAUUUUUCCAGAAUUGAAAUUUAUUAUUUGUUGAUCUCGAUUACUAACAUCAUUUAAAAGGAAUAAUACUAAUUUUGUGUGAUCUAAUUUAGAUUUGUUUAAAGUUAUUUUUUAGUGUUACUAACUGGCUGUUUCUGUUUUGGCCCCAUCAUAGAUUCGAGUUUAUCUGUAUUGAACCCGAAUCCUGAAGACAGCUUAUCGAGAAUCUAGAGACAAAUAUUAGAGAAAAUAUUAACUACUUAGGAUUCAUUAUAAUAAAAUUAACGGUACCAA
rnacentral:lncRNA from 1 species